rnacentral:rRNA from 1 species
ACGGGUGAGUAACACGUGGGAACGUACCCUUUGGUUCGGAAUAACGCUGGGAAACUAGCGCUAAUACCGGAUACGCCCUUUUGGGGAAAGGCUUGCUGCCGAAGGAUCGGCCCGCGUCUGAUUAGCUAGUUGGUGGGGUAAUGGCCUACCAAGGCGACGAUCAGUAGCUGGUCUGAGAGGAUGAUCAGCCACACUGGGACUGAGACACGGCCCAGACUCCUACGGGAGGCAGCGGUGGGGAAUAUUGGACAAUGGGCGCAAGCCUGAUCCAGCCAUGCCGCGUGAGUGAUGAAGGCCUUAGGGUUGUAAAGCUCUUUUGUCCGGGACGAUAAUGACGGUACCGGAAGAAUAAGCCCCGGCUAACUUCGUGCCAGCAGCCGCGGUAAUACGAAGGGGGCUAGCGUUGCUCGGAAUCACUGGGCGUAAAGGGCGCGUAGGCGGCCAUUCAAGUCGGGGGUGAAAGCCUGUGGCUCAACCACAGAAUUGCCUUCGAUACUGUUUGGCUUGAGUUUGGUAGAGGUUGGUGGAACUGCGAGUGUAGAGGUGAAAUUCGUAGA